ACACUUUACCUCUGUUUACUUUCUUUUCUUUAUCUUGUUCUGAUACGCACAUCAACACAAUGUGUUCCGAUUCCGAGUCGCAAGUAUCUUGUGCCAAAUUUGCAGCUUCGUCGUUCUUGAUUUUUUUGUUGCUUUCGUUAUGCCAGCACUCGGAGGAGUAGUGGCCAAAUUUACUACACGUGAAACAUUGCACGUUUCUUUUGUCGACGCUUUUUCUGCCGCCUCUUCCUUUGGGUUUUCCUCGCCCCCCAUAACUACCUUCUCUUUGAUCGUUGUUGUUUUCUUCUUUAAUCUGUUCGGAGUUAUUGGAGAAUCUUCCUCCAUUACGACCUCCACGACCGCCUCGUGUUCUACCUCGUCCUCUACCAAACCCGCGACCCUUUUGAAUCUUAGCUUGCAAUGCCUGAUUCAUGUUUUGACUUGCAUCCUUUUCUGCAGUUUUCCUUUCUAACAGUCGCUGUUCAUGGGCUUCGAGCGAGUUUUGCAACUCUUCAACCUUCAUUUUCUCCAAGUCUCUGCUUUCUACAAUAGCCACAACAAUAUGGUCGUAUUGGGGCGUUAGGGUUCGCAAGAUUUUAUGGACAAUCUUCUUGUCCUUGACAACUUUGUCGCAUGCCCUCAUUGCAUUGACAAUCACUUGGAUUUUGCCGAUGUAUUCUCCGAUAGUUUCUUGUUCCCCCAUGUUCAGAAGCUCAUACUGCCGUCUCAGUGACUGUAACUUAAUCUCCUUUAUAUUUCCAGCAGUUCCAUAUCCAUCAUGUAGAAUGUCCCAAGUUUCUUUUGCUGUCGUGGUCUUAGACACCUUUUGAAAGAUUGUUGCUGAAAUACAUUGAUGCAAGAUCAUGCGUGUUUUGCAAUCUAACUUUCGAUUUUCUUUAUACGUCUUCUUUUCUUCAUCUGUAGCGUUCUUUGCAGGUUCUUUAAACCCAAUCUUCACGAUUUCAUCAAUCUCCUGGAAACCAAGGAUAGCAUCCAUCUUGACGCACCAAUCUUCGAAGUUCUUUCCGUCAAAUAUGGGUAGAUUACUCUGGAUCAUCCCCGCCAUCUUUUCAACGUGAAGCCUUUCUUCACUGCACAAUUUCUUCGCAAAGAACGAUACCUCUCAAGUUCAGAAAUCUUGCUCUUGAUACCACUGAUGGUUCAGAGGAUAUGUUUUACAAAAUACAGAGAGAAUGAAAAUGGUACAGAGGAAAUGAAAGAGAGCACUCAGAGGAAUUAUGAGAGAACAAGUUACUUCUCAUUAAUGAAAGGCUGCCUUAUAUAGGCAAAGUACANAAAGUAANAGAAAAGCUAUUCUAUAAAACGACAUAGUUUUGGUUUAUUUACAAUAUAGUCGACAUCUGUAAUCAAUUUAGAAGUUGGGAAGGGAAUCAGACAUCUAAACUACUUUUGGUUUACUUUUGCAUAUCAUUUAGGAAAAAGUCUUUUUAACAACUCUUUCUUGACAAUUUUUUUACAACGCAUACGUGGCAGUUUGUGAUUAGUUUAUUUCAAAUAUUUUUUUAAAAUAAAUUCAAACAGACCAACAAAAUAGUGACACGUGUCCUAUUGUCAAAAAAUUGUUAAAAAAGAGUUGUUAAAAUAUCAUUCUUCUAAGGUCCAAUGUGGAUGGCCGACAUGUAAAUGGCCCUUAGACGUCUGGAUGGAGAGGCACAUACAUCUAAAUGUAAUAAAAACUGGUCUGAACAAUUUUAGCGUUGGGCCAACGUGUGUAACUAUUUAAACAUCGGUUUCCUAAAACCGGUCUGAACAAGUCUUUUAUUUAAAAACUGCCUCCGAUAUUUUUGAAAGUUCGGUAGUUAUUUUAUGAUAAAAAAAGUAUACUAUUUAUUAAUAUAAAAAUGGUCUCGGUAGAAUCUUUGGGAAGAUCUAUAUAGUUUCACCAGUUUUCCCAUCUUUAUUUUGUAUUUUCUUUUACAUAUUCAAGUUGCCACAAAAUCUC
rnacentral:lncRNA from 1 species